GACGAACGCUGGCGGCGUGCUUAACACAUGCAAGUCGAGCGGUAAGGCCCUUUCGGGGGUACACGAGCGGCGAACGGGUGAGUAACACGUGGGUGACCUGCCCUCAGCUCUGGGAUAAGCCUGGGAAACCGGGUCUAAUACUGGAUAUGACUCCAUGACGCAUGUUGUGGGGUGGAAAGCCUUGUGCGGCUGAGGAUGGGCCCGCGGCCUAUCAGCUUGUUGGUGGGGUGANGGCCUACCAAGGCGACGACGGGUAGCCGGCCUGAGAGGGCGACCGGCCACACUGGGACUGAGACACGGCCCAGACUCCUACGGGAGGCAGCAGUGGGGGAAUCUUGCGCAAUGGGCGAAAGCCUGACGCAGCGACGCCGCGUGAGGGAUGACGGGCCUCGGUU
rnacentral:rRNA from 1 species